ACACAUCCCAGACCUAAAGAAAAACCAGAGACCUCUGCCCCUCCUCCUCCCCACUCUCUCUCUCUCUCUCUCUCUCUCUCAUGGAUAUGGUUUUGCUUGCUUCUCGCGGACCACCAGCAGUUGAAGCUGCCAGCAUGAUCUAAACUUCCCUUUUGGCCAGUCAAGGAAAGAUCAGAUCAUGUGGUAGCUUCACCUGUUGACGGGAUCACGAAAACGAACUUUACUUUCACAAUUCUGGCCCAUACACUACCAGGCUAGUCUCUUUAUGUGAUUUUUCUCAUUUGGGUAGUCCUUUAUUUUGCUCUAAUUUGCUUUUCAUUUGAGUACCAUGGUACUGUUCCAUCGUUUUUUUUUCCUCUUCCCCUGCCCUUUUUCUUUUUCCUCAGUAUUGUUUGGCUUCCUGUUGAACCUCCACUUGUAGGAUCUAACUUUAUGGUAAGUUUAAUUUUAAUCAGGCAUUUGUUUUUGUUCAUCUUUUGGUUGGAAUAGUUAGUCUAAGUCUAAUCCACAUGUUCUUUCGUUGGCCAAUUUCAGCAGAACUUUAUUUUGCAAAAGAAAGUCUUGACUUGACCAAUGAGAAUGAUCUUGAGCUAUGGAAGUAUGAGGGCAUGCUGGGGAAUCUUUCCGACCCAAAAUUGUUAGGGUUUUGAGUGACAGAAUUUCUCCAACCCAAAAAUGUCUGGUGCUUUUGAGAUUCCAAUCUUAUCUUAAUAAGUACUUAUUCUGCAUAAUAAAGCCUUUGAUUGCAUUGCCUUUUUAAAUUAGUUUAAUGUAUUGGUUUUGUGCAAGAACAAUUUAAAUGGUGACAUCUGUAAAAGAAUGCAUAACAAGGGGGGAAAAAGCACUUGAAUCUCUGUGCAUGGCUGUCUGCAACUGCAAGUACUAUUAUAAAGCUUCUGCUGUUCCAUCACGUAUACACUUUUAAUAAGUCUCUUGGAUAUCUUUGUUUAAUCUUUUCAAGAAUUAAAAUGCUUGUGAAAUUUCUGCCCUACAUGUUUGUACUUAUUAGUGUCUAACUCGAGCAAGGGUUGCCAACGAGG
rnacentral:lncRNA from 1 species